rnacentral:rRNA from 1 species
UUGGAAACAGCGGUUAGGAGCUUACACCCACCCGUGUCUACAUACUAUUGUUGCUUUGGCGGGCCGUGGCCUCCACUGCGGGCUCUGCUCGUGUGUGCCCGCCAGAGAACCAAACUCUGAAUGUUAGUGAUGUCUGAGUACUAUCUAAUAGUUAAAACUUUCAACAACGGAUCUCUUGGUUCUGGCAUCGAUGAAGAACGCAGCGAAAUGCGAUAAGUAAUGUGAAUUGCAGAAUUCAGUGAAUCAUCGAAUCUUUGAACGCACAUUGCGCCCUGUGGUAUUCCGCAGGGCAUGCCUGUUCGAGCGUCAUUUAACCACUCACGCCUAGCGUGGUAUUGGGGCACGCGGUCUCCGCGGCCCUCAAAAUUAGUGGCGGCGCCGGUGGGCUCUAAGCGUAGUACAUACUCCCGCUAUAGAGUUCCCCCGGUGGCUCGCCAGAACCCCCAAUUUUUACAGGUUGACCUCGGAUCAGGUAGGGAUACCCGCUGAACUUAAGCAUAUC